AAAUUGAAGAGUUUGAUCAUGGCUCAGAUUGAACGCUGGCGGCAGGCCUAACACAUGCAAGUCGAACGGUAACAGGAAGCAGCUUGCUGCUUUGCUGACGAGUGGCGGACGGGUGAGUAAUGUCUGGGAAACUGCCUGAUGGAGGGGGAUAACUACUGGAAACGGUGGCUAAUACCGCAUAACGUCGCAAGACCAAAGAGGGGGACCUUCGGGCCUCUUGCCAUCAGAUGUGCCCAGAUGGGAUUAGCUUGUUGGUGAGGUAACGGCUCACCAAGGCGACGAUCCCUAGCUGGUCUGAGAGGAUGACCAGCCACACUGGAACUGAGACACGGUCCAGACUCCUACGGGAGGCAGCAGUGGGGAAUAUUGCACAAUGGGCGCAAGCCUGAUGCAGCCAUGCCGCGUGUAUGAAGAAGGCCUUCGGGUUGUAAAGUACUUUCAGCGGGGAGGAAGGUGUUGUGGUUAAUAACCACAGCAAUUGACGUUACCCGCAGAAGAAGCACCGGCUAACUCCGUGCCAGCAGCCGCGGUAAUACGGAGGGUGCAAGCGUUAAUCGGAAUUACUGGGCGUAAAGCGCACGCAGGCGGUCUGUCAAGUCGGAUGUGAAAUCCCCGGGCUCAACCUGGGAACUGCAUUCGAAACUGGCAGGCUUGAGUCUUGUAGAGGGGGGUAGAAUUCCAGGUGUAGCGGUGAAAUGCGUAGAGAUCUGGAGGAAUACCGGUGGCGAAGGCGGCCCCCUGGACAAAGACUGACGCUCAGGUGCGAAAGCGUGGGGAGCAAACAGGAUUAGAUACCCUGGUAGUCCACGCCGUAAACGAUGUCUACUUGGAGGUUGUGCCCUUGAGGCGUGGCUUCCGGAGCUAACGCGUUAAGUAGACCGCCUGGGGAGUACGGCCGCAAGGUUAAAACUCAAAUGAAUUGACGGGGGCCCGCACAAGCGGUGGAGCAUGUGGUUUAAUUCGAUGCAACGCGAAGAACCUUACCUGGUCUUGACAUCCACGGAAGUUUUCAGAGAUGAGAAUGUGCCUUCGGGAACCGUGAGACAGGUGCUGCAUGGCUGUCGUCAGCUCGUGUUGUGAAAUGUUGGGUUAAGUCCCGCAACGAGCGCAACCCUUAUCCUUUGUUGCCAGCGAUUAGGUCGGGAACUCAAAGGAGACUGCCAGUGAUAAACUGGAGGAAGGUGGGGAUGACGUCAAGUCAUCAUGGCCCUUACGACCAGGGCUACACACGUGCUACAAUGGCGCAUACAAAGAGAAGCGACCUCGCGAGAGCAAGCGGACCUCAUAAAGUGCGUCGUAGUCCGGAUUGGAGUCUGCAACUCGACUCCAUGAAGUCGGAAUCGCUAGUAAUCGUGGAUCAGAAUGCCACGGUGAAUACGUUCCCGGGCCUUGUACACACCGCCCGUCACACCAUGGGAGUGGGUUGCAAAAGAAGUAGGUAGCUUAACCUUCGGGAGGGCGCUUACCACUUUGUGAUUCAUGACUGGGGUGAAGUCGUAACAAGGUAACCGUAGGGGAACCUGC
rnacentral:rRNA from 1 species